rnacentral:rRNA from 1 species
GCUUAGAAGCAGCCAUCAUUUAAAAAGUGCGUAAUAGCUUACUGGUCGAGUGUUUUAGCACCGAUAAUGAACGGGAGUAAGCAAGACACCGAAGCAGCGGAUUCAGCUUAUGCUGAGUGGUAGGAGAGCGUUCCAGUACAGAUACGAGCCGUACCGUAAGGAGCGGUGUUGGGUACUGGAAGUGAUUAUGCCGGAAUGAGUAACGAUAAAACAGGUGAGAAUCCUGUUCGCCGCAAACCUAAGGUUUCCUGGGGAAGGUAAUUCCGCCCAGGGUUAGCCGGUACCUUAGUUGAGGCCGAAAGGCGUAGACGAUGGAGAGCAGGUUAAUAUUCCUGCGCCGGUUAUGUGGACCGAUGGGGGGACGUUGUGUAGAUUGUGAUCGGGCGAUCAGAAAUGCCCGUAGGGGAAGACAAGGCCGUGGAUAGGAAAAUCCGCCACAUCAGGCCAAGGCUUUCACUCGAGUCCGUUGAUGACGAAGUCAUAUGACGCAUAACCAAGAAAAGCCUCUAAGGAUUGAAGCAUAACCGACCGUACUAAAACUGACACAGGUAGGUGAGGCGCGUAGCCUAAGGCGCUCGAGAAAACGCUGGUUAAGGAACUCUGCAAAUUGACCCCGUAAGUUCGCGAUAAGGGGUGCCUCCGAUGGUUCACGCUGUUGGAGGCCACAGAAAAUCGGCUCUGGCGACUGUUUACUAAAAACACA